AGCAGUUUGUGUUCAUUUCCAGCAACAGGAAUUGUUUUCAUUCUUUGAGAUGGGACUCAGCAGAGUUUUGAGUUACUUUACUUUAGCAAUGUUCAUUCAAUAUUGCUGCAGUCAGACACUGAUCGAGUCUGAUUCAGUGAUCAUCAAACCUGAUCAGUCUCAUAAACUGACCUGCACAGCUUCUGGAUUCACCUUUAGUAGCUACUGGAUGGCAUGGAUCAGACAGGCACCUGGAAAAGGGCUGGAAUGGGUUGCAAAUAUCCGGUAUGAUAGUGGUGAAAAGUAUUACUCCAGUGCAGUUAACGGCCGCUUCACCAUCUCCAGAGACAACAGUAUGAUGCAGGUGUAUCUGCAGAUGAACAGCGUGAGGACAGAAGACACUGCAGUGUAUUACUGCGCAAGAGACACACACAGUGAUACUUCUCCUUAAACAUCAAUACAAAAACACAUGCCUGCUCUAGUCAC